GGAAGGGAUUCCCCCAGACCAGCAGAGGUUUAUUUUUUGCUGGAAAGCAACUUGAGGACGGGAGAACUUCGGCUGACUACAAUAUUCAGAAGGAGUCAACUCUUCAUUUGGUUCUGCGUCUGCGUGGUGGAAAGCAGAUUUUUGUCAAGACGUUGACUGGCAAAACCAUUACCCUGGAGGUUGAAAGUUCUGAUACAAUUGAUAAUGUGAAGGCUAAAAUCCAAGACAAGGAGGGUAUUCCACCGGAUCAACAGAGGUUGAUCUUUGCUGGGAAGCAGUUGGAGGAUGGACGCACCUUGGCUGAUUACAACCUCCAGAAGGAAUCAACUUUGCACCUUGUCCUUCGCCUU
rnacentral:misc_RNA from 1 species